rnacentral:sRNA from 1 species
AUGGACCACGCCUGCACUCCGGUUCCGGGCGCGCCGUCCAUCCCCCUCCCCGACGACUGCGCGCUACGUUUUGCUGGCC